GGGUAGUACGGUCGCAAGACCGAAACUCAAAGGAAUUGACGGGGGCCUGCACAAGCGGUGGAGCAUGUGGUUUAAUUCGAUACAACGCGCAAAACCUUACCAGCCCUUGACAUAUGAACAACAAAACCUGUCCUUAACAGGAUGGUACUGACUUUCAUACAGGUGCUGCAUGGCUGUCGUCAGCUCGUGUCAUGAGAUGUUUGGUCAAGUCCUAUAAGGAGUGAAACCCUCGUUUUGUGUUGCUGAGACAUGCGCCUAAGGAGAAAUUGCCACCGAGUGACGUGCCAGCGCUACUACUUGAUUGAGUGCCAGCACGUAGCUGUGCUUUCAGCAAGAAUUUCACCAUUGGGAGCCGGUGCCUUUCGAAGCACUUUCACGUGUGAACCGAAGUCGUCUUGCCCAAGACCCACGGAGACCUACCUAUAGUGACGUCAAAGUACUAGUGAGCAUGGAGGUUUGGUUGAAAUUGGUUACGACGACAUCGAGUUGGCGGCGGAGGAAGACUCGGCAUGAAGGCUAGAAAAUGGUGUGGAACGUAGUGGUAAUAGUACGCGCCCCGCUCCGAAACAAAGAAAAAGGUGCGUGCCGCACUCACGAGGGACUACCAGUGAGAUACUGGAGGAAGGUGGGGAUGACGUCAAGUCCGCAUGGCCCUUAUGGGCUGGGCCACACAUGUGCUACAAUGGCAAUGACAAUGGGAAGCAAGGCUGUAAGGCGGAGCGAAUCCAGAAAGAUUGCCUCAGUUCGGAUUGUUCUCUGCAACUCGGGAACAUGAAGUUGAAAUCGCUAGUAAUCGCGGAUCAGCAUGCCGCGGUGAAUAUGUACCCGGGCCCUGUACACACCGCCCUUCACACCCUGGGAAUUGGUUUCGCCCGAAGCAUCGGACCAAUGAUCACCCAUGACUUCUGUGUACCACUAGUGCCACAAAGGCCUUUGGUGGUCUUAUUGGCGCAUACCACGGCGGGGUCUUCGACUGGGGUGAAGUCGUAACAAGGUAGCCGUAGGGGAACCUGUGGCUG
rnacentral:rRNA from 1 species